ACAUCCUCUCAGUUCUCUAGCGAAAGGGAAGGAGGCCACGCUUGUGGGCCUAGGCUGUCUGCAUGAAGUUCUCCGUCGUUUUAUGCCUGCUGGGUAUCUUCGUCGCGCUGCUGACUUCCACAUACGCUCAGGAACAUUCUGUCCGUUUCCGUCGCUUCCCUCGUAGAGGAAGAUGCAGAGAUGGUACGGUGCUGGUCAGAAACAAAUGCCGGCGGAUACUGAGAGUUUGAUGGCCACGGAGACAACGGAUGACGAAUGUUUUCUGGAACGAGCGAAAACUGCGAGAUGAAUGUUUCAGUACUGUAUAUGUACAAACAUUUAAAACAACAAAGUGUUCAACAAAGAAUGAAUGUCGUAAGGAGAUAGAGUUUCACAUACAGUGCGUCUUCGUCUAUCAUAGUUUUGUAACUGAAUAAAGCAAAAUUACAUUUCGUCUAAGAUGGAA